CCGACUAGUUAACUUCUUGAGCUAAGCAGCUAAAUUUCGAACGAGGGAAGUCAUUGUUAUAUGAUUCAGGUGCAUCUGCGAUGGGCUAUGUAUAGUGGGUAUAGUAUCCCCAAAGAUGGGAGUGGUAUGGUCGUUUCUGGUGUUUUGGGGUUCGGGAAUGAGCAGUGGAGUGUUGUUGCAUGUGUUGCAGGCUUAGGUAUGAGCAGUUUGUGCCGGUGGUGGUGGUGGUGUAGGGUUUUGGUUGUUGGCAUCAGCAGCGGCAAGAGUGAUUGAGAAGCUUGCCAGGUUUCGAACUUGUUCCAAUUCUUCCCAAAAUCUCAGCAAAGUCUGCACAAGAUGAGCAGCAGUUUCCUUGGUGAUUGCAGCGUUCUGAGAAGUCUUCUCAAUUUCCUUUCU
rnacentral:lncRNA from 1 species